AUCAGAUGAAGCUAGCCUUCUCAGCUAGCCUUUAGAUUUGUCUGCUAACAGUAAAAAUACUAUAAUAAAUCGGUAACAUAUGUUGCCAGAUUGCAUUCUUACCCAAAUACUCUUCGUGAUUGCCUGCUUUGCGGCUUUGGGAUGAAUCGACUCAGAUCAUUGCUCUGAUUAUGACUCUCUGCUGACCCAGAUACUGGGAUGAAGUCAAAAUUCCUUGGCAUGGCUCUCAAGGCUUUUCACAACCUCAUCAUCCAACUUUUCAGACAUGGCUGAAAGAUAUGAGAUGAUGGCCAUGAAGACUUUCUCCAGAUUGGUGAACAGGCCUAAUCCUGAAGACAGACUUUUUGGGUAUAAAGGAUGAAGUUGUAGGGCAGGAAGUCUUAUGACACUCAGAACAGCUACUCAAUGGAAAUCACAAACAGAAUGAGUUUCAUCCACAUGUCAAGACACUACUACCAACAAAGCUAUUUCAGAGCACCUAUCCUAAAUACCUAGCUGUCUCUUCCACUUAAAGCAAGUGUUUCCAAACCUGUCCCGAGGCAGAGAUGACCCUAAAGAGCCCCUCAGGAGCACUUAUUUGUGGUUUCUAGACUGAAGGCUGGCUGUGCAACUUUGGGAAAGAGAUGGAUUCAAUGGUGCUCACUUUCCUUUGGAUCUCUGCAAAACUACAUACCUACUCAACAUGUUUUUGGAUAGAAUUUCAGAAUUAUAAUGUCUUCUAAUAUCCAAUGUUCUACCAAGUCACUUAAGAUACAACCAGCAUCCUCGCGGUCUUUGAUUGCUGAUGGGGUAAUGAGAAGAAAGUCCCGACUUUAACGUGAAGCCAGAAGAGAAGGUGUCUGCAUUUAAACGGAGACUUGCAGUAUCUCCCAGGAACACUUUGGAUGGAAAAGAAAAUGUCCUUAGCUAAGUCAGUAUAAAUCAAAGCUUAUCAGUCUGGCAAACUAUAUUUUGGAAGAGCAAGACCACUUAGGUCAAGGUACAGUUCCUGUCAAGGUUUCUGAAUCUUGUUCUAAGGUUGGAGAUUGUGGCUAUCCUUACAGCUUCAUGGAGCAGUAGACAUGUUGAGAUAGGAUUUGGUCAGCAAAAUGGAGAAUUAGCAAGUUUCAGAAAAGGUGCCCACCUGCCAGCAAGUCCAGCUUAUCUUAUAGUUGACAAAUACAACCUAAAUUGAUAGUAAAGAUCAGCUGGUUUCACUUCAUUUUACAGAGGAAGAAACUUUGAUUCAGAGAGGUUAUUGCUAAAGAACAUAUAUUUAAUAAAUAGAUUAACUUUGAUCUGUUCGCAGUAUUUUUGAUUGAUAUAAUCUUUAUGUCUUCUUUUCCGUCUUAAUAAAGAUUUUAUAAACAUUUGGGAUCCUGUUUUUAUAUGUAAUUAUAAACAUGAAGCAAUUUUCAUCAAAUAUAUAAAAGUUAAAAACAUAAUAGCAUUUCUUGUGGCACAUAUACACCAUGGAAUACUAUGCAGCAAUAAAAAAAGGAUGAGUUCAUGUCCUUUGCAGGGACAUGGAUGAAGCUGGAAAACAUUCUCAGCAAACUAACACAGGAACAGAAAACAAGCUGCAUAUUCUCACUCAUAAGUGGGAGUUGAACAAUGAGAACACAUGGACACAGCGAGGGGAACAUCACACAUUGGGGCCUGUCUGCAGGUGGAGGGCCAGGGGAGGGAUAGCAUUAGGAGAAAUACCUAAUGUAGAUGAUGCGUUGAUGGGUGCAGCAAAUCACCAUGGCACACGUCUACCUAUGUAACAAACCUGCACAUUCUGCACAUGUAUCCCAGAACUUAAAGUAUAAUUUAAAAAAAAA
rnacentral:lncRNA from 1 species